GCGGAUAUGGCGGAAUUGGCAGACGCGCUAGACUUAGGAUCUAGUGCCGCAAGGCGUGGGGGUUCGACUCCCUUUAUCCGCA
rnacentral:tRNA from 1 species